GUGAGGAAUAUUGCGCAAUGGAGGCAACUCUGACGCAGCCAUGCCGCGUGCAGGAAGAAGGCGCUACGCGUUGUAAACUGCUUUUAACCGGGAAGAAACCCCAGGACGUGUCCUGGGUUGACGGUACCGGAGGAAUAAGCACCGGCUAACUUCGUGCCAGCAGCCGCGGUAAUACGAAGGGUGCAAGCGUUAUCUGGAUUCAUUGGGGUUAAAGGGUGCGUAGGCGGAGCGUUAAGUCAGUGGUGAAAUCCUGCAGCUUAACUGUAGACUUGCCAUUGAUACUGGCGCUCUUGAGUGCGCUUGAAGUGGGCGGAAUGUGCCGUGUAGCGGUGAAAUGCUUAGAUAUGGCACAGAACACCAAUUGCGAAGGCAGCUCACUAAGGCGAUACUGACGCUGAGGCACGAAAGCGUGGGGAUCGAACAGGAUUAGAAACCCGGGUAGUCC
rnacentral:rRNA from 1 species